AUUUGUGAAAACACAAAAUGAUUUGCAAAAAAUGCAGUAAGUUAAAAGACUAGGUUUCUGUAGGAAUGUCUGUAGUGUCUGUAGACAAAUAUCCACAUUCCAGAAAAGAACAUCACAUCAGGUGAGAGGCUCUUCCCAUGGUAACUGCUAAUAUUUAGAACCUUCAUGGGACAGAAAUGGAGGCACCACCUCAACCUAAUCAGCAGAUGGUUUUAGAGACAUUCUGAGCAACUGUGUCACCCACAAAGAGACUCGCCUGUUGGAACAUCUCUAACUUUUAAGUAUUCUGGAAAUGUCACAAGCCUGGAGUUGAGCAGAAAGGAAGCACAUUACGAAGGAGCCAGCAGAUAACAAAUCUCCAACUUAGGAAGAAUUGCUUCUGGAAACUGCAGGCCAUGAGAUAAGGUUUAUUCCAUGGGAGCUGACUUUAUCC
rnacentral:lncRNA from 1 species